AUGAUUACUAGGAGUUUGCGAUAUACCGUCAAGCUUCCACAGCGAAAGCGUUA
rnacentral:rRNA from 1 species